GUAGGGAAUAUUGCGCAAUGGACGAAAGUCUGACGCAGCGACGCCGCGUGAGUGAUGAAGGCCUUAGGGUCGUAAAGCUCUGUUGAAUGGGAAGAAAAAAAUGACGGUACCAUUCGAGGAAGGACCGGCUAACUUCGUGCCAGCAGCCGCGGUAAUACGAGGGGUCCUAGCGUUGUUCGGAAUCAUUGGGCGUAAAGGGUGUGUAGGUGGCCAUGUAAGUCAGGUGUGAAAGCCCCGGGCUCAACCCGGGAAGUGCACUUGAUACUGCGUGGCUUGAGUACCGAAGAGGGUAGUGGAAUUCCAGGUGUAGUGGUGAAAUACGUAGAUAUCUGGAGGAACACCGGUGGCGAAGGCGGCUACCUGGUCGAGUACUGACACUGAGACACGAAAGCAUGGGGAUCAAACAGGAUUAGAUAUCCCGGUAGUCC
rnacentral:rRNA from 1 species